AUCUCACAAUUUAUUUUAAUGCCGACGUCGAAGGAGUUGCAUGCUUCUGAAUUAUCUAGUAUCAGAAAACAGAGAUAAUUCAAUGGGUGCAGUCCUUUUCCUUUGUAGGAGUUGGUGUAGAUUAUGUCGGGUUGACCGACAGCAUAGCUAAAAACCAUCGUGAAGUCGUUGCUUCGUGCCAUGGCUCGUGAUGACCGAAUGCUACGUACAUUUG
rnacentral:snoRNA from 1 species